ACCCGCUGAACUUAAGCAUAUCAAUAAGCGGAGGAAAAGAAACCAACAGGGAUUGCCCCAGUAACGGCGAGUGAAGCGGCAACAGCUCAGAUUUGAAAUCUGGCCCUUACGGGGUCCGAGUUGUAAUCUGUAGAGGAUGCUUUUGGCGACGCGCCUUCCGAGUCCCCUGGAACGGGGCGCCAGAGAGGGUGAGAGCCCCGUAUGGUUGGACGCUGAACCUCUGUAAAGCUCCUUCGACGAGUCGAGUAGUUUGGGAAUGCUGCUCAAAAUGGGAGGUAAAUUUCUUCUAAAGCUAAAUACCGGCCAGAGACCGAUAGCGCACAAGUAGAGUGAUCGAAAGAUGAAAAGCACUUUGAAAAGAGGGUUAAAUAGCACGUGAAAUUGCUGAAAGGGAAGCGCUUGUGACCAGACUUGCGCCCGGUUGAUCAUCCAGCGUUCUCGCUAGUGCACUCUGCCGGGCUCAGGCCAGCAUCGGCUCUCCCAGGGGGAUAAAGGUCGCGGGAACGUAGCUCUCUCCGGGGAGUGUUAUAGCCCGUGGCGGAAUGACCUUAGGGGGGGCCGAGGCCCGCGUUCGCAAGGAUGCUGGCGUAAUGGUCACCAGCGACCCGUCUUGAAACACGG
rnacentral:rRNA from 1 species